UUAAAUUGAUAUUUCGUGCAGUUGUGCAUCCCGUGCAUCUCGUUAUAACGAAGGGAGGUCUGUGACGACGACCAUUUGCACGUUGUUUUGGGGGAGAGCACAUGCUGAAUUUCAAGCAGAUCUUCAUCACACCGAAUACCUGACCGGUUAUUUCCGGAGUACUCUUUCCACUAGCUGUUCGUCAUGGAGAAUGAAAACAGGAAUGCCCAAAAUGGUAUGCAGCUACCCAACCCGCACCUGGCACAAAUGACCGAUGACAACCUGUACCAUUUCGGUAUCUCUAGAACGUCACAUGAUCUACCUGCCUUAUUUGGGGAUGUCAAGUUCGUAUGUGUCGGGGGCUCUGCGCGUCGAAUGGAAAACUUUGCCCAUUACAUAGGUAAGGAGUUGGGUGUUGUAUCGGCGAAUGAAAGACUCCCAAACCUGGCCGGUAACAGUGACAGAUUUGUGCUGUACAAGGCUGGCCCCGUUCUCUCUGCAAAUCAUGGUAUCGGCGUGCCGUCCAUGUCAGUGGCCCUGCACGAGCUACUCAAGAUGCUUUUCUACGCUAGAAGUAGAGACGUCACCUUCAUCCGCAUCGGUACAUGCGGCGGAAUCGGAGUUCCCCCUGGCUCUGUGAUAGUCAGUAAUGCUGCAGUCAACGGGAAGAUGGAGCCCGCCUUCGAAACAGUGGUGUUGGCCAAGGGUAUCCACAGACCUAUAAUAGUGGACCAGGAACUGGCCAGCCAGAUAAGUUCCUGUUCAAGAACCGAAGACCCUUUCAAGGUUAUCUUGGGAAAGACGUACUGUACGGAUGAUUUCUUUGAAGGUCAGGCGCGGACACAUGGUGCUGUGUGUGACAUCAGCGAGGAGGACGAGCUCCAGUUCGUGAAGCAUCUCAACUCACAAGGCGUGAAGAACAUCGAGAUGGAGUCGGCGGGGUUCUUCGCUCUCUGCCAUAAGGCUGGCGUGAAAUGCAGCGUGGUGUGUGUGACCUUCAUCGACAGACUGUCCACGGAGGACGUAACCGCGGACGCCGAUGUGUUGAGUGAGUGGACUCAACGGCCUCAGGUUCUGGUAGCCCGGUUCAUCAAGAAGCGGCUUGUAAUUUCAGUGUAGUUUAAAUGCUACAAAAGAUGAGUCUGUCACGUGAUGUUUUACUGCAUCUAUCAUCAACUUCAACUUGCAGAAUAUAAAGUGAUUAUUGUAGAGCGACACCACGAUAUACUUUCAGGGAUAUCAACACAAAAACACGUUAUCACUAUUGCCACAUACUUAUAUACAGGUCCGUUUCAUCGCCCGCCACGGGGCACAUUUGAAUUUUGUUUGUUCAUGAAUAAUAUGGAAGUUAAUGUUAACUAUAAAAAAAAGUUCUAUAAAGCCUUAAGAGGACAUAGGCACCAGGGUAGCUUUAGAUAUAAUUUAAUGAAAUCAAAUGGACACGUCUUCACAAUUGGAAAAGAACUUAAUUUAAGCCAAAAGAUGACAAAAAUGUCACUUUCAUGCAUUUUUUGUCAUUUUCCUAAUUUGUGACACGUCCGACAACAAAAAUAGAAAUCUAAAAACAUGCCGCAAGGGACGUUACAGAGAGAAAAAAAUAUUUACGGCAUCAAUUUUCGAACACAGUCUUGACAAGUAUCUUAGAUAAGCAUGUAAACUUUCAUUCAUGUAACUUCAGUAGUUUCAGAGAAAACUUGUGCCUGUUUCAUGCAGUUUGCACGAAGUUGAAAAGCAUGGAGCAGGGGUCAUAACUCUGUCAAAAUUGAAUUUAAGACACAAGUUUUUGAAGCCAUUUAAGAUCGUGACCAGUAAGAUAACCAGUGUGUAAAAUAUCAGUUCUCUUACUUCUAUAGUUUUUUAGAAAAGUUGUUCCCAUUUAGAAACGGACGGGCAGACAAACUCCGCUCCUAUAUUCCCCGGGGGAUAAUUGGCACAAGCCCACUUGCCCAAGACAAAAAAGUUAACGAUACCCAGAGAGCAAUAUAAUUGCAAAUAUUAUGGGGCUUUUAUAUUAACGAAACCAUAUGUUUUUUUAUUAUUGUCAUGCUAUUAGACGUCGUCAUUCACUGAACAAAUAAUGUUAGGGUUACAUGUUAAAAUAAGGUCAGUUUGAGGCCCGUCGAUAUCACACUGGUGUAUGUUAUACUGAAUGCUGUUACACUGAGGUAUGUUACACUGAGGUGUGUUAUACUAAGGUAUGUUACACUCAGGUAUGUUACACUGAGGUGUGUUAUACUAGGGAUGUUACACUGAGGUGUGUUAUACUAAGGUAUGUUACACUAAGGUAUGUUACACUGAGGUGUGUUAUACUAAGGGAUGUUACACUGAGGUGUGUUAUACUAAGGUGUGUUACACUAAGAUAUGUUACGCUGAGGUGUGUUAUACUAAGGUGUGUUACACUGUGGUGUGUUAUGCUAAGGUAUGUUACACUGAGGUAUGUUACACUGUGGUGUGUUAUGCUAAGGUAUGCUACACUGAGGUGUGUUAUACUAAGGUAUGUUACACUGUGGUGUGUUAUACUUAGGUAUGUUACACUAAGGUAUGUUACACUGAGGUGUGUUAUACUAAGGGAUGUUACACUGUGGUGUGUUAUGCUAAGGUAUGUUACACUGAGGCAUGUUACACUGAGGUGUGUUAUGCUAAGGUAUGUUACACUGAGGUGUGUUAUACUAAGGUAUGUUACACUGAGGUAUGUUACACUGAGGUGUGUUAUACUAAGGUAUGUUACACUGAGGUGUGUUAUACUAAGGUAUGUUACACUGAGGUGUGUUAUACAAAGAUAUGUUACACUGAGAUGUGUUAUACUAAGGUAUGUUACACUGAGGUGUGUUAUACAAAGAUAUGUUACACUAAGGUAUGUUACACUGAGGUGUGUUAUACUAAGGUAUGUUACACUGAGGUGUGUUAUACAAAGAUAUGUUACACUAAGGUAUCUUACACUGAGGUGUGUUAUACUAAGGUAUGUUACACUGAGAUGUGUUAUGCUAAGGUAUGUUACACUGAGGUGUGUUACACUGAGAUGUGUUAUACUAAGGUAUGUUACACUGAGGUGUGUUAUACUAAGGUAUGUUACACUGAGGUGUGUUAUACAAAGAUAUGUUACACUAAGGGAUGUUACACUGAGGUGUGUUAUACUAAGGUAUGUUACACUGAGAUGUGUUAUGCUAAGGUAUGUUACACUGAGGUGUGUUAUACUAAGGUAUGUUACGCUAUGGUUUGUUACACUGUGGUGUUUUAUGCUAAGGUAUGUUACACUCAGGUGUGUUAUACUAAGUUAUGGUUUAUCAUCUGUCCUCAGAUAGUUUGUUUUGUCUUCAAUGUGAUAAUAUGAACAAAUAUCACAGAUAAAACUGAUGGACACAUAAAAAGCAGCUUCGUGAAAGGGAAUAAUUUUCCACGUUUCGUGUAUUAACAUAAGCUAGAAAAACGUCGUUCUGUGCCUCAAUUCAAAAUGCAUUCAUCCUUUUUCCUUAUCACCAUGACUGAAAGUCUCGCCAAUGAUGAAACCUGAAUUUCUUCAAGAAGUUUAAUUUCUAUUUUUAAUAUGUCUUCCACAGCAGCCAUAUUGAAACAAAUAUGUUGCCAUUACUCAGCCAUUCUUAUUCGAAAUGUAAUGAAAUUUGGUGUAUGUAUAGUUUCGCCUUUCGCAAUAGUUUCAAUUGUGACGCUGAUUAUUACGUUUGCACUUUACGGUGCUCUUAACUUCUCACAAAAUGCAUAUUUGGCCCAAUAUGAACUUUUACAUGAAUGUUCUUUCUAACGACACCAUAUCUUCUUCAAAUUCAUAAGGAUUUUAUUAUUAGGUUAUAUCUGCAGAAUAUUUUCAGAAUCAAAUUUCACAAACCUGGGUUAAAUGUCAUUUUCUGUCGCUUCUCUUUCUGUCUAUUAUCAUUGUUCCUGUUACUGUUGUCAUAGAAACAACUUAAUAUAUUAAACAAUAAAGUUGACUCUAAUA
rnacentral:misc_RNA from 1 species